CUAGGACACAGUGAAGGAAGAUGCCUCUCGGGUUACAGCAGAGGGAACAGCGACUAGAAAUGCAGAGUAACUCCACAUCAGAAACUGUUCUCAUUACAGCGUUAUUAAGAUCUUACAUCCUGCCUCACAACCGUAAUGUCUCUGAGCAAGGAAGAACGACUCUAAAUAAUUCUACUCAUAGGAAUUCGGGGUCAAAGAGAGGCCGCUGCUGAAUUUAACAGACUGCAUCCAGACCGCGAGCCAAUAACACAGAGUUGUGUUAAUAGACUUGUUGCAAAGUUUGAGAAAACAGAAUCCAAAGAAGAUAAAACACGCAGUGGACCUUCAAGGAGAUCCACUGAUGAAAAUUAGGAGUGUUGAACAUUUGCGGCAGCCCAUUAUUGAGGGAUGUAACACCAUUACUCCUGAGAUCAUUCACCGUGACUGGUUAUCAUGUCUGGAUUUGUGUAUUGAGAACAA